GUUUACGGGCAGAUCUGCCCGAACCAAUAUGGCGGCGCCGUUUACGUACGAUUCAGCGCUCAAUGCGGCGUCUAUGUAUAUAUGUCUAUGGUCUGGCCCUUUAAAUCUGCAGCGGAAGAAGUAGGCGGGAUGUGUGUUGGCGUACAGGAAGGUGGUCCAAUAGUGUGUAGAGCAAAUCGUAGAUCUUGUAACGUUCUUGGUAGUUUACUGUGAUUGCGUUUUGCCCGUCAGUGUGUGUAUCCUCAGCUGUAGAGCACAGGCUCGCCUCUCUCUCUGUCUGUCUGUUAGCUCAGUGCUCUGUGGCUCUUUGUCUGAUACAAGGCGCGCUCUCAGCAGCUACUUUGUUCAGGCGUAACGUGACUACAAGAGUUCCAGCUGGCUAUCCCCAGCCUGUUCACCUGAGAGCUUAGAGCAUCCACAGUCAGUAGGAUGGAGGAGGAGGCCAGGUGCUUCCUGGGGAGGUUUGUGGAGGAGUUCCCGACUGUUCUGGAGGAUGACAGCCUGCUGCCUGUCAGCCCUCUGAGCCACAAAGUGUCAAUGGAGGAGUUGCAUGGAGAGAGCCUGGAUCUGGGCCUGAGGCUUCUGGAUGCCAGAUAACAACAGUGAGUAGAGAGGACAUGGGCAAGAGAUGGAGAUACCAGCCGAGACUCUAAAACCAGCUUUUGGAACAGCUGGCGAAAGGAUUACAUUUGUCACACAAAUGUGAGACAUCUACACCCACUGAGCUGAAAGUGGGAGAUGUAAUCCUGGUCGGCGAGGACAACACACCCCGACAGACCUGGAACAUAGGCAGGAAUAACUCAACUGUUUCCAGGGAGAGAUGGAAUCGUUCGCUCCUGUAUAGUUCAUACAUCCACAGGCAGUUUAUUGAGAAGACCUGUUCAGCUAAUUUAUCCGUUAGAGAUUAAUUAAUUAAAGUGAUUGCAUUGUGAUGUGAUGAACAUGAUAGUGAUGAACAACUGUUCAUCGGGCAGGAGGAUGUUGUAAAUAUAUAUUUUCAAUGGUAGGCAGUUGGCAAUAGAUGAAUAAUAAUAGGUUACAACAACAAAUGCUUUUAUUUUCUUCUUUUAUGUCACCGUUGUAGUUUUCUUCUUUGUAACAGUGUUUUACGUGUUUAAAUUAGUAAAUAUAAUCGGUUGAAUGAGAAGCAGUUGUGAUCGUCGUUUUGUUUAGAAGCUCCAACAUUUUACACAACACUUACCUGCUCACAGAUUUACAGUAACCAGGUUCCUACAGUGUAUGACCGACCAUGUACACCGCCUGCGAAUGACAAAGCAACUUUAUUUUAUUUUAUUUUCAAGUCACUGUGCAGGGCAACAGAGGGAAAAAAAGAAGAUCCAUUGAAAUAAUGAUAAAGACUUAACAUUGUCUCUCAACUGCAUGGAUGAAAUAUCCUGCAAUACAAUUACAUAAACUAUGUGAACAAAUAGGAGUUUAACAUAUGAGUCCUAACUUCUGGUGCUGUUAUUCUCUGGUUGUACAUUAUAAAACAUGCAGCAUAAUUCUCUCUAUGUUUUUGAAUACACUGUGAAUUGAGUUUCAAAAUCUUUUAGUGCUGACAGCACUCCUCUUCCUUCAUAAGUGUUACGUCCACUAGGACUAACCUAGUCAGACAAUAACACGACAAUCAUAAUAAUCAAAGUCUCGGUGGUAGUGAAGAAAAAAAGGUUUAUUUAUAACAAACAAAAAGAUACUCAGGUGGGGUAGGAUGGGACAAAGUGAUUGUGCCAAAAAAAAGUGAAAUUAAUAUAACAAAAGUAGGACUGUCUUCUCUGGAGCUACAGAAAAGAAACACAAACAAAAUGCCUAACU